GACGUAGGGCGCGAGCGUUGUCCGGAAUUACUGGGCGUAAAGGGCGCGUAGGCGGUUCGAUAAGUCCCGUGUGAAAGCCCCCGGCUCAACCGGGGAGGGUCAUUGGAAACUGGGAGACUUGAGUGCAGAAGAGAAGAGUGGAAUUCCACGUGUAGCGGUGAAAUGCGUAGAGAUGUGGAGGAACACCAGUGGCGAAGGCGACUCUUUGGUCUGUAACUGACGCUGAGGCGCGAAAGCGUGGGGAGCAAACAGG
rnacentral:rRNA from 1 species